rnacentral:rRNA from 1 species
GACGAACCGUGCAAACGUUGUUCGGAAUCACUGGGCUUAAAGGGCGCGCAGGCGGGCCAGCCAGUCUGUGGUGAAAGCCUCCAGCUUAACUGGAGAAGUGCCGUGGAUACUGCUGGCCUCGAGGAGGAUAGGGGCAUCUGGAACGGUCGGUGGAGCGGUGAAAUGCGUUGAUAUCGACCGGAACUCCGGUGGCGAAGGCGAGGUGCUGGGUCCUUUCUGACGCUGAUGCGCGAAAGCCAGGGGAGCAAACGGG